UACAGGGGGGGCAAGCGUUGUUCGGAAUUACUGGGCGUAAAGGGUCUGUAGGUGGCCAACUAAGUCAGACGUGAAAUCCCUCAGCUUAACUGGGGAACUGCGUCUGAUACUGGAUGCUUGAGUGUGGGAGAGGAAUGCGGAAUUCCAGGUGUAGCGGUGAAAUGCGUAGAUAUCUGGAGGAACACCGGUGGCGAAGGCGGCAUUCUGGACCAUAACUGACACUGAGAGACGAAAGCCAGGGGAGCAAACGGG
rnacentral:rRNA from 1 species